rnacentral:lncRNA from 1 species
GAUGCUAAGCGAUGGUGAUCCAAAUUGAGCAGCAACUUUUCUGGCUUCGACGCUAGUCUCAGCAUCCUUCUCCUUUUGGGCUAAGAGCAUCAUAGUUUCAAGCAAACGGUCCAUCUUCGCUUGCAUAGAGUCAAUGUCUAUCCUCAUUGAAACUUGGUUUGCCUCAAGCUGUUCGAGCGUCAUCUUGUAGUUGCGGUGUGUCUCGUACCGGUGUCGAGUAGUCAACGUUAUUGGAUAAAGGGUAGAAUAUGG